UUAAGCGACUAAGCGUACACGGUGGAUGCCCUGGCAGUCAGAGGCGAUGAAGGACGUGCUAAUCUGCGAUAAGCGUCGGUAAGGUGAUAUGAACCGUUAUAACCGGCGAUUUCCGAAUGGGGAAACCCAGUGUGUUUCGACACACUAUCAUUAACUGAAUCCAUAGGUUAAUGAGGCGAACCGGGGGAACUGAAACAUCUAAGUACCCCGAGGAAAAGAAAUCAACCGAGAUUCCCCCAGUAGCGGCGAGCGAACGGGGAGCAGCCCAGAGCCUGAAUCAGUGUGUGUGUUAGUGGAAGCGUCUGGAAAGGCGCGCGAUACAGGGUGACAGCCCCGUACACAAAAAUGCACAUGCUGUGAGCUCGAUGAGUAGGGCGGGACACGUGGUAUCCUGUCUGAAUAUGGGGGGACCAUCCUCCAAGGCUAAAUACUCCUGACUGACCGAUAGUGAACCAGUACCGUGAGGGAAAGGCGAAAAGAACCCCGGCGAGGGGAGUGAAAAAGAACCUGAAACCGUGUACGUACAAGCAGUGGGAGCACGCUUAGGCGUGUGACUGCGUACCUUUUGUAUAAUGGGUCAGCGACUUAUAUUCUGUAGCAAGGUUAACCGAAUAGGGGAGCCGAAGGGAAACCGAGUCUUAACUGGGCGUUAAGUUGCAGGGUAUAGACCCGAAACCCGGUGAUCUAGCCAUGGGCAGGUUGAAGGUUGGGUAACACUAACUGGAGGACCGAACCGACUAAUGUUGAAAAAUUAGCGGAUGACUUGUGGCUGGGGGUGAAAGGCCAAUCAAACCGGGAGAUAGCUGGUUCUCCCCGAAAGCUAUUUAGGUAGCGCCUCGUGAAUUCAUCUCCGGGGGUAGAGCACUGUUUCGGCAAGGGGGUCAUCCCGACUUACCAACCCGAUGCAAACUGCGAAUACCGGAGAAUGUUAUCACGGGAGACACACGGCGGGUGCUAACGUCCGUCGUGAAGAGGGAAACAACCCAGACCGCCAGCUAAGGUCCCAAAGUCAUGGUUAAGUGGGAAACGAUGUGGGAAGGCCCAGACAGCCAGGAUGUUGGCUUAGAAGCAGCCAUCAUUUAAAGAAAGCGUAAUAGCUCACUGGUCGAGUCGGCCUGCGCGGAAGAUGUAACGGGGCUAAACCAUGCACCGAAGCUGCGGCAGCGACGCUGAUGCGUUGUUGGGUAGGGGAGCGUUCUGUAAGCCUGCGAAGGUGUGCUGUGAGGCAUGCUGGAGGUAUCAGAAGUGCGAAUGCUGACAUAAGUAACGAUAAAGCGGGUGAAAAGCCCGCUCGCCGGAAGACCAAGGGUUCCUGUCCAACGUUAAUCGGGGCAGGGUGAGUCGACCCCUAAGGCGAGGCCGAAAGGCGUAGUCGAUGGGAAACAGGUUAAUAUUCCUGUACUUGGUGUUACUGCGAAGGGGGGACGGAGAAGGCUAUGUUGGCCGGGCGACGGUUGUCCCGGUUUAAGCGUGUAGGCUGGUUUUCCAGGCAAAUCCGGAAAAUCAAGGCUGAGGCGUGAUGACGAGGCACUACGGUGCUGAAGCAACAAAUGCCCUGCUUCCAGGAAAAGCCUCUAAGCAUCAGGUAACAUCAAAUCGUACCCCAAACCGACACAGGUGGUCAGGUAGAGAAUACCAAGGCGCUUGAGAGAACUCGGGUGAAGGAACUAGGCAAAAUGGUGCCGUAACUUCGGGAGAAGGCACGCUGAUAUGUAGGUGAAGUCCCUCGCGGAUGGAGCUGAAAUCAGUCGAAGAUACCAGCUGGCUGCAACUGUUUAUUAAAAACACAGCACUGUGCAAACACGAAAGUGGACGUAUACGGUGUGACGCCUGCCCGGUGCCGGAAGGUUAAUUGAUGGGGUUAGCGCAAGCGAAGCUCUUGAUCGAAGCCCCGGUAAACGGCGGCCGUAACUAUAACGGUCCUAAGGUAGCGAAAUUCCUUGUCGGGUAAGUUCCGACCUGCACGAAUGGCGUAAUGAUGGCCAGGCUGUCUCCACCCGAGACUCAGUGAAAUUGAACUCGCUGUGAAGAUGCAGUGUACCCGCGGCAAGACGGAAAGACCCCGUGAACCUUUACUAUAGCUUGACACUGAACAUUGAGCCUUGAUGUGUAGGAUAGGUGGGAGGCUUAGAAGUGUGGACGCCAGUCUGCAUGGAGCCGACCUUGAAAUACCACCCUUUAAUGUUUGAUGUUCUAACGUUGACCCGUAAUCCGGGUUGCGGACAGUGUCUGGUGGGUAGUUUGACUGGGGCGGUCUCCUCCUAAAGAGUAACGGAGGAGCACGAAGGUUGGCUAAUCCUGGUCGGACAUCAGGAGGUUAGUGCAAUGGCAUAAGCCAGCUUGACUGCGAGCGUGACGGCGCGAGCAGGUGCGAAAGCAGGUCAUAGUGAUCCGGUGGUUCUGAAUGGAAGGGCCAUCGCUCAACGGAUAAAAGGUACUCCGGGGAUAACAGGCUGAUACCGCCCAAGAGUUCAUAUCGACGGCGGUGUUUGGCACCUCGAUGUCGGCUCAUCACAUCCUGGGGCUGAAGUAGGUCCCAAGGGUAUGGCUGUUCGCCAUUUAAAGUGGUACGCGAGCUGGGUUUAGAACGUCGUGAGACAGUUCGGUCCCUAUCUGCCGUGGGCGCUGGAGAACUGAGGGGGGCUGCUCCUAGUACGAGAGGACCGGAGUGGACGCAUCACUGGUGUUCGGGUUGUCAUGCCAAUGGCACUGCCCGGUAGCUAAAUGCGGAAGAGAUAAGUGCUGAAAGCAUCUAAGCACGAAACUUGCCCCGAGAUGAGUUCUCCCUGACUCCUUGAGAGUCCUGAAGGAACGUUGAAGACGACGACGUUGAUAGGCCGGGUGUGUAAGCGCAGCGAUGCGUUGAGCUAACCGGUACUAAUGAACCGUGAGGCUUAACCUU
rnacentral:rRNA from 1 species